GUGAAAACGGCCUUGAAAGCUAGAAUCAUUUAUUUUCUACUAAGCCAGAAAAUGCGUAUGUAUGAUGGAUUGAUUGGCAGUUAUGUGCCAUUGGAUUAUGUGCUGUUGUCUGUCUCUCUUGGAUAUCUGUGCAUAAGCAAGAAGAUCCCACUGUCAGUUUGUUACAUCUGCCUUGCAUUGCAUCUGCUCAGCCUGUGGGUUGAAAGGAGGAUAAGGUCUUUAAAAAAAAUACCACAUGGCAGUGGGCAAAGCAGCAGUGGGCGGGGCAGCAGUGGGCAGGACAGCAGUGGGCAAAGCAGCAGUGGGCGGUGCAGCAGUGGGCAGGACAGCAUAGUA